AAAACGCAACCUCGAACGUAACUCUCCUCCGAGACCAAUAUCGCCAAUUAACAUUAAUUUUAGUGGAAAUAUUUAUCCUAGCAGGACCCAUAAAAAAUCUCAAGGACCUGUGUUGAACUGGCCGUCCGCCAUAUUGGGUGAAAUUCACAGUUUGAUGAUUCGGUGUGAAAACGGUUCUGGGAAGGCCCAUUCAUUGCCAGUCGCAGCCUUAAUUUUCUCAUCUGGCACGCCAUGGCAUCCAUUUGGAUAGCACAAGAGGCUCUUGACCUGUUAUCACAUUUACGCUCACGCAAACGCGAGAAUCACACAGGCCAAUGUGGAAAAACAGAGCUGAGAACAAUAUUAGUGCCGGUGACACAGAGGGAUCCAUAAAGGACACUCCGGAUGGUGAUUAAGAGCGCUCGUCGCUUAAAGCAGCUAAUUAGGAUUCCUUGUUGAGCGAGCAGCCUCUUGAAGCUAAUUGCUCAAUAAAGGGAGUGGAAGCGUCGCGAUUAAAACACUCUUCCGCUGCUUCUUGUCUCAAUUAGCGCUCGCGGCUUCAAAGCCCGUCAAAAUGGACACCCCCUAAUGCACGGCACAGACCGGAAAAAGUCACAGACGCAUGACGUCUUGUUCCAAGUAUGUCUCAUUGAUGAGUGACAGCGACAAAUGUAAGCGUCCCCCAAAAAAAA